AACGAACGCUGGCGGCAUGUCUAACACAUGCAAGUCGAACGAGACCUUCGGGUCUAGUGGCGCACGGGUGCGUAACGCGUGGGAACCUGCCCUUAGGUUCGGAAUAACUCCCCGAAAGGGGUGCUAAUACCGGAUAAUGUCUUCGGACCAAAGAUUUAUCGCCUUUGGAUGGGCCCGCGUUGGAUUAGCUAGUUGGUAGGGUAAAAGCCUACCAAGGCGACGAUCCAUAGCUGGUCUGAGAGGAUGAUCAGCCACACUGGGACUGAGACACGGCCCAGACUCCUACGGGAGGCAGCAGUGGGGAAUAUUGGGCAAUGGGCGAAAGCCUGAUCCAGCAAUGCCGCGUGAGUGAUGAAGGCCUUAGGGUUGUAAAGCUCUUUUACCCGGGAUGAUAAUGACAGUACCGGGAGAAUAAGCUCCGGCUAACUCCGUG
rnacentral:rRNA from 1 species